AUCCAUUUAAAAGACCUAGAAAAAAUUGUUUCUCUCUCUAUGCUCUUUGUCGCCGUCUCCAAGUCCUUUUGCAAAAAGUUCUUUUUCUUUUGCCGACGAAGCUGCAGAGAUGAAAAAAGGAUUCGGACCAAGCAGCAUCAACCAACAACAGUUAUUAGUUGUAUUUGGAUUAUUGGGUAAAAGCUUUGCAGAUAGCCAAACGAAUCUAUCUUUUGGCUUGGCUGAACUUAAAGAUAGCUUAUGGAUCUGAUCCUCAUACUGUGGAACCGGAAGAGGUAGGUCAAAAACUUUAUCCCACAUGAAAAGCGGGUCUUCUACUAAUGGUUUUGAUCAAGUUUGGAAUCAAUUGAAAAGCAUGCGUUUUAAGAACUCAGUUUUGGAUAUGUUGAUUUGGAGGUGAUAGCUAUACAACAGGUCAAGAAUACAAUAAAAGAGAGGUGUUGACAUUGUUGUUAGAAUCCUUGGUGGUAUGAAGUGGAUGCUUCAAAUUACUGGGACAGCCAGUUAUAUGGGAUCCAUUGGAAAUGAUAAAUACAAAGAGGCAAUGAAGAAGGAUGUACAACAGCUGGUGUCAAUGUUCACCAUCAUGAAGAUGAGUCGUCAUCAACCGGAACUUGCGGUGUUUGUGUUGUUAAUGGAGAAAAAUCUUUUCAAUGGUCUUGGAAAACCAGCAGCAAAGUUGAAAUGAUGCACUACGCCAAGUGAGUUUAUUUUUGGUUGUUUUAAAAGUUAUUGUAAGUUUGAAGCAAUAAUAGGUUGUUUGGUCUUAAAGUUAACCUUAGAUAGUAGCUAUAUUGUGCUUCUGAAUGCGUUGUGUAGUAGGGUCAUAUAGAGAUGGAACUGAGGUACAAAGUACAUAUACGGUCUCUGCUAUGAGGAUGCAAAGCUGAUGGAAAGUGUUCCGUGAGGUAGUGAGGUCUUUGUACUUAAUGUGAAGACACUAUUCUCAACUGGUAUCACAAAGGAACCAACCCGUUGCUUUUCUAAUGGAGACGGCGGAUGACUUAAGUGGAGAAUAUUUUUGUACUUCAUUAUUGUUUACUUAGUAACUCUUUUUAAAUCGUAUAUUUUUGUUUGUUUGUAUAUUUCUUCAAAUCUAAAUUAUAUAUCUGUUUCACAACAUUGAUAAAUCGGAUAUUGAAUGGUGUAAAAGAUAA